rnacentral:rRNA from 1 species
UACGUAGGAGGCAAGCGUUGUCCGGAGUUACUGGGCGUAAAGCGCACGCAGGCGGUCUGUUAAGUUUGGAGUGACAGUUGGUGGCUUAACUGCCAAAGUGCUUCGAAAACUGAUCGACUUGAGGGCUUCAGAGGGACACGGAAUUCCGGGUGGAGUGGUGAAAUGCGUAGAGAUCCGGAGGAACACCAGAGGCGAAGGCGGCGACCUGGACAGAUACUGACACUCAACUACGAAAGCGUGGGUAGCAAACAGG